CCCCUUUCCAGGUGGGUUUUUCCCCCUUUCCAGGUGUUUUUUCCCCUUUCCAGGUGGGUUUUUCCCCUUCCCAGGGCUCAGCAGGAUGCAUUGUGGUACUUGGCACUUUUGAAAUACUGUGAAUUCCCCUUUGCCACAGUUGCUUCUGAAAACUCCCAUGUUUUGCUCAGAGCACUUGGACUGGAUCACCCACAUCUGGCCACGCUGAAAAGGGUGUGAUUUGUGUUGACCAAAACAAAAAGUCAAAGAGAGUUUUAAGCUGAACAUCCCUCCCAAAAUCCCGCUGAGAUCCAUGCGCUCUUCCCCGAUGAAAUGGGAUUUUAGUGGGGCAGUUUGGGGUAAAUCUGGGGGGGAUUUUCAGUGUAAAGCUUUCCUGUCUCUCUGAUUUGUUGUCCAGUGUAACCCCACGGUGUUUACAGCGUGCAUUUGCCAACUCCUUGCUUAUUUUUAACUCGACUAUUCCACGUCCACAAGGCGCCACGAUCCAAGUUUUGAGAUUUUCCUGUCCUAGAAGAAUAAGCUAUUGCAGUGCAAAUCCACUUGUGGAGCUGUGGACUCGCCCAGGUUGGGGCUUGGAAGAGGGGGGAGCAGGAGGAGAGGAAAAGAAUGUUUUAUUGCUUUAAUUUCAAUUUCAAUAAGCAGCAAUGCACCAAGAGCCCUCCUGUGAAACCCUCGGUGCUCCUGUGCCGUGUUUGGGGGGUGAAGAAGGAGCUCAGAGCACUCAAGAGCUGUGGUGCCACUUGUUGCAGUGCAGGUGGGGUGCUGGGAAUUCCCUUUCCCACGGGAAUUCACGUGGAGUCAGGAAUGCUCUCCUUGCAGAGGGCUGGCUCUCUGAACACCCCUUGGUGUCUCCCAACAGUUCCUCCCUCUCCGGUGGUUUUGAAGUGCAAUAAGAGAGAAGAGGUCCUUGCUAACCCUUAAUGCACCCCUGAGCACACCAGUUGUGGGCACAACGACCUUUUAAUGCCCAAACUAAAAAGUUUUGUCUGUUUUACUGCCUUUUUUUUUUUUUUUUUUUAUCUGGGUGCCAUUGUUUGAUGAUCACAGGAACCUGCUGCCGGUGCUGUAGGUCAGGUUUCCUUCGCAGAAGUUUUGGCACCGGAUUUCUGACUUUGUUGGGUAUUUAAGCACGGUCUGGAAACUCUGAAGCUCCCAAGUGCGUGGUUCCAGCACCUUCUCGUGCUCUGCAGUGUGAAAAUGUGUUUGUAAACCCUGUGUCUUGACAGCCAGAGGUCAACACAGCCUGUUUACUCCCGAGAAUGUUUCCAGCGCCUCUUCUCACCUACUCAGUGACUUGUUCAAGGCAUGUAGGCCUUUCCUUCAGCUCUCCCAAAAUCCCUCCUGUGCUGAGGGGUGUUAACGAGCCAGUUCAGCCCAGACAAAGCCUCUACACAAGGGAGUCCUUUGGAGAAGCCCCUCAGUGCUCCUCUCACCAGGCUGUGGACCCUCUGCCUGCGUUCCGUGUUUAUUCUGGAGCAGGGCUGUGGUGGGAAGCAGAACCCAGCUUUGCCAGGGCCUGCUCCAUCCUUCUGCAUCCAGCCCAGAGUGGACCUGCUCCUCAGGAGCUGUGCCUGCAGAGGGGAAGUGGCACUGGGACAAAGGGGACUGCAAAUGGAGCAGAAACCAAACGUCCCCAAAGCCAUCGGGGCUCUGCCUGUUCCGAGCUCCACCUUCCAGGAGAAGAGCUCUCACUAGAGGCCUUUGGUGAAGGCUGACCAUUCUGGAAGAUUCCAUGAGUGAAGAAAGAGCCAGGGCACUGCUCUCCAUCCCUUUAUCCAUAACCUCCAUAAGGAAUUCCUCGAGUCCUGGGAAUCCUCUUUGCCCCCCCCCCCCCCUGAGCAGUGUCGGGAUCCCCGGGAGUGAGACCCACCAGCUCCAGGAGCACAGCUGACCUGCAGACAGCAGCUUUUCACCUCUGGAAAUCCUCCUGCAUGAUCUGUGCACCAUGACUGGAAUGUUCCCUGCUCCUUUGGGAACGGGCCCGACCCUGCCUGGGAGCCACAUCCCAGCAGGUCCCUCCACGCCUUUCCCUGAUGGAUACGGGCAGCUGUGGUGGCUGCAGUCCUGUUUCUGUGUUAUUUUACCCCAACCAGGUGCUCUUGCUGCCCACACCUCUGUGGGGACACCCCUCCCCUGUCACCUGGGCAGGUGCUUCAGGAAGAUGCAGUUCCUUGAACCCAGCAGUGAUUCGGGGAGUCUCCAACUCCUGGAAGACACAACCACGACCGAGCAGCAGCAGGAGAUCCACGAAGGCAGCAGGAACACGUUGUGCCUCGGGCAAAGGUAAAGUCUGGAUCUUCCGGGAAGAGUGAUGCCUUCCUGGAUCUCCCCAUCUCCCCUCCCUACAGCCUGGUGUUCCCAGGCACAUUUUCCUUGUUAAAGAAAACCCCCUCGUCCCACUGUGCCCCCCAGCAGAAGCUCUUGCUGAACAUCACCUGUGUGUUUGCACUAUUUAAAUGAAGCCUGUACCACAGAAUUGACCCUUAUUUUUUUUAUGUCCUGCAGAAGAUGAAUUUAAUUAAAUCGAGCUCAUUCUACGA